rnacentral:rRNA from 1 species
GAUGAACGCUAGCGGGAGGCUUAACACAUGCAAGUCGAGGGGCAGCACGAGGUAGCAAUACUUUGGUGGCGACCGGCGCACGGGUGAGUAACGCGUAUGCAACCUACCCUGUACUGGGGGAUAACCCGGAGAAAUUCGGACUAAUACCCCAUAAAGAUAUGAAGAGGCAUCUUUUUAUAUUUAAAGUUCCGACGGUACGGGCUGGGCAUGCGUAAGAUUAGCUAGUUGGUAGGGUAAUGGCCUACCAAGGCUCCGAUCUUUAGGGGUCCUGAGAGGGUGAUCCCCCACACUGGUACUGAGACACGGACCAGACUCCUACGGGAGGCAG